GGGGCUCAAACCAGGUACCGAAGCUACGGGUUCAUCGUAAGAUGAGCGGUAGAGGAGCGUUGUGUAAGCCUGUGAAGGUGAGUUGAGAAGCUUGCUGGAGGUAUCACAAGUGCGAAUGCUGACAUGAGUAACGACAAUGCGAGUGAAAAACUCGCACGCCGAAAGACCAAGGGUUUCUGUUCGACGCUAAUCGGAGCAGAGUGAGUCGGCCCCUAAGGCGAGGCCGAAAGGCGUAGUCGAUGGGAAACGGGUCAAUAUUCCCGUACCGGACAUGAUUGCGAUGGGGGGACGGAGAAGGCUAGGUGAGCCAGGCGUUGGUUGUCCUGGUGAAAGUGAGUAGGCUGGCGUCUUAGGGAAAUCCGGGACGCUUUAAGGCCGAGACACGAGAUGAACUGACCACGGUCAGGAAGUCAC
rnacentral:rRNA from 1 species